rnacentral:lncRNA from 1 species
AUGCACCUCACAGAGCUGGAAGAAAAGAACGUGGAACUGAAUAAUCAGCUGUCACAGUUUCAAUCUGCUCUUCAGCAGGCCGAACUGGUCUCUUCAAGCCGUGCAGGAAAACUUCAGGAGCUCAGCACCCAGAUCCAGGCCCUGCAGGAUGCAGUGACAGAGAAGGCAGCUCAGCAGGACACUCGAGAGAAGGAGCUGCUGCAGGAGCUGGAAAAGUCCCGAGCAGGAGAACAGAGCUUGAGGGACGCUAUGAAUGUGCUGCAGGUUGAGAUGUCUGGGCUGCGUCUGAGGCUCCAGAGCUCUGAGGAAAGAGCAGAGGCCAUGGCCACACACUGUGAGGCCAUGGAGAUGGAGCUGAGGAUGGCUCAGGCUGACAACAACCAAAUCAAGGCCUGCAAUCAGGAGCUGCAGACACUGUUGGAAGAAACUCAGCAAGCAUUAUGGAGGGCAGAACAGCAGAAGACCUCUCUAGAAACUGCCUUGAAGGAAGAGGCUGUGACUGUUCGUCAGGAGGUGGCAUCACUGCAGAGGAAACUGGAGAGUCAGGAGAAGGAAAGGAAAGAUCUUCUGACCAUCAAGGCAAAGCUGCAAGCUGAGCUGCAGGAAGCUCACAAUGAAAUGCUGGCAGUGCAGAGGAGGCACAAGGAAGACCUUCAGGGCAUCAGAGAGGAGAUGAAUGUCCUCCUCAAACAGAGGGAUGCUCUACAAAAGCAGGUGGAUGAGUUGACAUCUCAGCUGGCAGCCUCCCGAGAGUUCCAGGAAAGCACAGUCCAGAGAGCCCAGCAAGAUGUGAGCAAGGCCCAGGAACAGUUGCAGCAGAAGAUGUUGGAGACUGAGCACAUCCAAAAGAGGCUGGAGGAGGCAGAACAAGAGAAGAAGGAGCUCCAAGUGCUGCUACAGAUAAUGGAGAAGGAAUCGAAACAAUGGGAAGAAGUGGCACGCCAAAAUUCAGAACUGCAAGCUUUCAUGCAGCUCCUAGACAGUGAAAAUGACAGGCUGAUUCUGUCUCUGGAGGAAAAGAAUGUGUGCCUCAGAUCACUGGAAGAAAAGAACCAGGCGCUGAAGGAUCAGCUGUCUCAGUUUCAUUCUGCUCUUCAGCAGGCCAAACUGGUCUCUUCAAUUUGUGCCAGGAAAACUGCAGAAGCUCAACACCCAGAUCCAGGCCCUGCAGGAUGCAGUGACAGAGAAGGCAGCUCAGCAGGACACUCAAGAGAAGGAGCUGCUGCAGGAGCUGGAAAAGUCCCAAGCAGGAGAACAGAGCUUGAGGGACGCUGUGCAUGUGCUGCAGGUUGA